UGUCGUCAGCUCGUGUCGUGAGAUGUUGGGUUAAGUCCGUAACGAGCGCAACCCUUCGUCCUUAGUUACCAGCACGUUAUGGUGGGCGACUCUAAGGAGGACUGCCGGUCGACAAACCGGAGGAAGGUGGGGAUGACGUCAAGUCAUCAUGGCCCUUACGGCCUGGGCUACACACGUGCUACAAUGGUCGGUACAAAGGGUUGCCAAGCCGCGAGGUGGAGCUAAUCCCAUAAAACCGAUCGUAGUCCGGAUCGCAGUCUGCAACUCGACUGCGUGAAGUCGGAAUCGCUAGUAAUCGUGAAUCAGAAUGUCACGGUGAAUACGUUCCCGGGCCUU
rnacentral:rRNA from 1 species